rnacentral:rRNA from 1 species
AUUGAACGCUGGCGGCAGGCCUAACACAUGCAAGUCGAGCGGAUGAAGGGAGCUUGCUCCUGGAUUCCGCGGGGCGCGCGUGUGUAAUGCCUGUGAAUCUCCCGGGUUGUGGGGUAUAACGUCCGGAAGCGGGCGCUAAUACCACAUGCUACGUGAGCGAGAAAGGGGGGGGUCUUCGGACCUCCCGCUCUCAUGGGGGUCUAGGUCGGGUUUGCUAGUUUGUGGGGUAAAGGCCUACCAAGGCGACGAUCCGUAGCUGGUCUGAGAGGAUGGUCAGUCACACUGGAACUGAGACACGGUCCAGACUCCUACGGGAGGCAGCAGUGGGGAAUAUUGGACAAUGGGCGAAAGCCUUGUCCAGCCAGGCCGCGUGUGUGAAGAAGGUCUUCGGAUUGUAAAGCACUUUAAGUGGUGAGGAAGGGCAGUAAGUUAAUACCUUGCUGUUUUGACGUUACCAACAGAAUAAGCACCGGCUAACUUCGUG